UAUAUCAUGGCAGCCAGGAAACAAAUAGAGU
rnacentral:piRNA from 1 species